rnacentral:snRNA from 1 species
GUGCUUGCUUUGGUAGCACAUGUACUAAAAUUAGAAUGACGCAGAGAAGACUAGGAUGGCCCCCACGUAAGAAUGACACCCAAAUUCGUGAAGUGUUCCCUAAUUUU